rnacentral:rRNA from 1 species
UACGAAGGGGGCUAGCGUUGCUCGGAAUCACUGGGCGUAAAGCGCACGUAGGCGGCUUUUUAAGUCAGGGGUGAAAUCCUGGAGCUCAACUCCAGAACUGCCUUUGAUACUGGCGACCUUUGAGUUCGGGAGAGGUGAGUGGAACUGCGAAGUGUAGAGGUGAAAUUCGUAGAUAUUCGCAAGAACACCAGUGGCGAAGGCGGCUCACUGGCCCGAUACUGACGCUGAGGCACGAAAGCGUGGGGAGCAAACAGG